rnacentral:rRNA from 1 species
AUACGUAGGGGGCGAGCGUUGUCCGGAAUGACUGGGCGUAAAGGGCGUGUAGGCGGCCGAUUAAGUCUGGAGUGAAAGUCCCGCUUUCAAGGUGGGAAUUGCUUUGGAGACUGGUUGGCUUGAGUGCGGAAGAGGUAAGUGGAAUUCCCAGUGUAGCGGUGAAAUGCGUAGAGAUUGGGAGGAACACCAGUGGCGAAGGCGACUUACUGGGCCGUAACUGACGCUGAGGCGCGAAAGCGUGGGGAGCGAACAGGAGUAGAUACCCUGGUAGUCCACGCUGUAAACGAUGAAUGCUAGGUGUAGGGGGUAUCGACCCCUCCUGUGCCGGAGUAAACGCAAUAAGCAUUCCGCCUGGGGAGUACGGCCGCAAGGUUGAAACUUAAAGGAAUUGACGGGG